UUAAAUAUCACUGUCUCUCUCUUCCUUUUAAAUCUUCACCCUGUGCCUUCUUCCUCAUUUGUUUCCACCACCAUGUUCAUCUUCGAUGAGAGAGAAAGGGAACCUGCCAACAACCUGAAACAAAUCCGAUCUACCUCAAAUGCCCCCUCCUUCCGGUGAAUACCUGCCAACAACCUGAAACAAAUCCGACCACCACCAACUCUUGGUGGCAGCGGAGAACAGCAGCAGCAACACCGCCACCACGGUGGCGGCGGCGGCGAACAGAGAGACGAAGAAGAGAGAGAGAGAGGGAGCAGGAGCGAGAAAUGAGAGAGGGAGGGAGGGAGAGAGAGAGGAGUCAGAGAAGAGAAGACGAUGGACGGCGGUAGCGCCGCCGCUCACGGCGGCGGCAGUAGAGACACAGGUGGCGGCGAUCCAGGUUGUUCCAACUAGUGUCAAGGAUGAUGAUGCUGUUUUUUUUAUAUUUGAUUGAUGAUGAUUGAGUCGGUGGUGGCCGACGAUGGCAGCCGGCGAGGUAGCUACAUGGCAGUGACGGUGGAUGAUAGGUGAAUUUAUGUGUCGUUAAUUGAUUGGUGAAUUUAUGUGUCGUUAUUGUGGGGGGGGGGGAAUGUUGAACGUGUGGAAUGUUUUGUAGAGAUUUUGAUGUAUACGUCGAUGUUAGAUUUAUUUAAAGAAUCGGAUUUUGUGUAGACAUUUGGGCGAGAAUUAAACAAAAAAUAACCGUUUUAUUUGCUAAAAUCUGAAAUUACCAUCUGAGAUAAAACUUUGCACA